rnacentral:rRNA from 1 species
AUUGAACGCUGGCGGAAUGCUUUACACAUGCAAGUCGAGCGGCAGCGCGGGGGCAACCCUGGCGGCGAGCGGCGAACGGGUGAGUAACAUAUCGGAACGUACCCAGUCGUGGGGGAUAACUAUCCGAAAGGAUAGCUAAUACCGCAUACGUCCUGAGGGAGAAAGCGGGGGAUCGCAAGACCUCGCGCGAUUGGAGCGGCCGAUAUCGGAUUAGCUAGUUGGUGGGGUAAAGGCUCACCAAGGCGACGAUCCGUAGCGGGUCUGAGAGGACGACCCGCCACACUGGAACUGAGACACGGUCCAGACUCCUACGGGAGGCAGCAGUGGGGAAUUUUGGACGAUGGGGGCAACCCUGAUCCAGCCAUUCCGCGUGAGUGAAGAAGGCCUCGGUU